rnacentral:lncRNA from 1 species
CCCCAUUCUCCACAUUCACUCGUAAAGAUUGUGAUUCAUGUGUGUCUACAGCACCAAAUGAAGCAAAAGCAAAAGCCAAAAGCCCCGUGAAGACCCCCGGGAUUCGUGGAUCUUGCCUCGAGUCUUCCAGCUUAUUUAUUCUCCUCUCUCUCAGAAGGAAGGCAGAGUCUUUUUUUUUUUUUUUUAGGGGAAGAGCAAGGAUUC